rfam:Globicatella sp. HMSC072A10 Globicatella_spHMPREF2811-1.0_Cont494.1, whole genome shotgun sequence.
CCUUUUUACGCAUAAUAAACCACCUAUAUAUAUUUUACUGUUCCUAUUUAAUUAGAAACAGGUAUAUAAAAACGUGCUACAUGGUUUAUUAGUUCCUAUUAAACAGACUAAAAUACAAAUAAUACUACCAAAAGGUUAUAAAAAAAACCGUAGUUUGGUAGUAUCCUUUCAUGCAAUAAAUUAUCAAUUACUUUCAAACGACGGUUCAAGAGCCGUCGUUUUAUAUAUUUUAUAAACA